rnacentral:rRNA from 1 species
UAUUAGAGUUUGAUUAUGGCUCAGAUCGAACGCUGGCGGCGUGCCUUACACAUGCAAGUCGAACGGCAGGGGACCCUCUGGUGCCAGAGAGUGGGACUGGGGAGUAACGAGUGUCUAAUCUACCCUUGGCAUGGGGAAAAACACUACAAAUAUUGCGCAAUACCCAAUACUUUCCCUGGCGGGAGGUUUCGGGAUCGAAAGACCUUGCCCUGAUUGACCGGCCAAUAUCUCAUUACCCAGUUGGUGGGGUAAAAGGCUACCGCCGCCCCAAUCUAUAACGGGUCUGAGGCCAGAAUCGGCCAACCUGCACCUGAGACACGACCUACACUCCUAACGCAGGCAGCAGGGGGCAAUUUUGGACUUCCGGCACAAGCCUGAUCCUGACAUGCCGCGUGCAUGAUGAAUGACCUCGCUUGUCGCUGCU